GUAGGGUGCGAGCGUUGUCCGGAAUUACUGGGCGUAAAGAGCUCGUAGGUGGUUUGUCGCGUUGUCCGUGAAAUCUCACAACUCAAUUGUGAGCGUGCGGGCGAUACGGGCAGACUGGAGUACUGCAGGGGAGACUGGAAUUCCUGGUGUAGCGGUGGAAUGCGCAGAUAUCAGGAGGAACACCGGUGGCGAAGGCGGGUCUCUGGGCAGUAACUGACGCUGAGGAGCGAAAGCGUGGGGAGCGAAC
rnacentral:rRNA from 1 species